UACGUAGGGUCCGAGCGUUUAAUCGGAAUUACUGGGCGUAAAGCGUGCGCAGGCGGUCUGUUAAGACCGAUGUGAAAUCCCCGGGCUUAACCUGGGAAUUGCGAUGGAGACUGCAAGGCUAGAAUCUGGCAGAGGGGGGUAGAAUUCCACGUGUAGCAGUGAAAUGCGUAGAGAUGUGGAGGAACACCGAUGGCGCAAGGCAGCCCCCUGGGUCAAGAUUGACGCUCAUGCACGAAAGCGUGGGGAGCAAACAGG
rnacentral:rRNA from 1 species